GAUGAACGCUGGCGGCGUGCCUAAUACAUGCAAGUCGAGCGAACAGACGAGGAGCUUGCUCCUCUGACGUUAGCGGCGGACGGGUGAGUAACACGUGGAUAACCUACCUAUAAGACUGGGAUAACUUCGGGAAACCGGAGCUAAUACCGGAUAAUAUAUUGAACCGCAUGGUUCAAUAGUGAAAGACGGUUUUGCUGUCACUUAUAGAUGGAUCCGCGCCGCAUUAGCUAGUUGGUAAGGUAACGGCCUACCAAGGCGACGAUGCGUAGCCGACCUGAGAGGGUGAUCGGCCACACUGGAGCUGAGACACGGUCCAGACUCCUACGGGAGGCAGCAGUAGGGAAUCUUCCGCAAUGGGCGAGAGCCUGACGGAGCAACGCCGCGUGAGUGAUGAAGGUCUUCGGAUCGUAAAACUCUGUUAUUAGUGAAGAACAAAUGUGUAAUUAACUAUGCACGUCUUGACGGUACCGAAUCAGAAAGCCACGGCUAACUACGUG
rnacentral:rRNA from 1 species